rnacentral:tRNA from 1 species
GGAGGUAUGCCCGAGUGGUUGAAAGCCCCGGUCUUCAAAACCGGUAUAGUUCGAAACAAAGAACUAUGGAGGAUUCGAAUCUCUCUCCCUCCU